rnacentral:rRNA from 1 species
UACGUAGGGGGCUAGCGUUGUCCGGAAUCAUUGGGCGUAAAGCGCGUGUAGGCGGUCCGGUAAGUCCGCUGUGAAAGUCGAGGGCUCAACCCUCGAAUGCCGGUGGAUACUGUCGGGCUAGAGUGCGGAAGAGGCGAGUGGAAUUCCUGGUGUAGCGGUGAAAUGCGCAGAUAUCAGGAGGAACACCAGUGGCGAAGGCGGCUCACUGGCUCGGUACUGACGCUGAGGUGCGAAAGCGUGGGGAGCAAACAGG